rnacentral:misc_RNA from 1 species
AUGUAAAUAAAGUUCUGAAAAUUUACCAUGCUUGUGUAUUAAGAAGGGGAGAAUGGGGGGGGGGGUAUUUUUUUUUUAGCUGUUGAAAUCCAAUACACAAGAAUGGAAUCAACAUUUUUCUCCCAUUUUAAAAUGAGCAUUAAUGAAAAGGGAUUUUCUGUUAGGUCCUACAACUUCCUUUUGCAGCAGUGCACAAGGUCUUUUUUUUUACCACCAAGGCAUUCAAUUUUCAUUUUCUCAUGAUUCCUUAUGACUUCAGUUCUUGGAAAUUUGUAGAGGGGCAAGUGCUGUUGCUCUUGAAAUUUAUUACAUACAGAAAAUUUGAUGUAUAUUAAGGUGGAUAAAUUGUUUAUGACAUUAACAGGAGUUAUCCCUAGUCAAGCUUCAUUAUGUAUUAUGGUGAAGACAGAAUCGUGUGGUGUAGAUUGAAUUAUUAUGCCAUGCACUUCCCAAAUUUAGUUAUGAAUAUAAAGAUAAUCAGAUAAAAUUAAUGUGAAAAUGGACUGUAUUUUAUAAAUUGCAUGUAGAUGUUUUGCAUUUGAUGAAAAGUUAACCGAAUAUAGCUUUGAUUAUUUCUUAUACUCCCAAAUGUAUCAAAUGAUGUUAAUUGAAUUUGUGUCUUUCAGAGGUGCCUUCUCCGAGGUUGUGCUAGCGGAGGACAAAUCAGAGAGGGGGAAAUUAGUGGCCAUCAAAUGUAUAGAUCGAUGCGGAUUACUGGGGAAAGAGGAAUCGUUGGAGAAUGAAAUUCAAGUUCUUCGAAGGUAAUGCCCAGAAUUAGAGGAAAUCUUAUCAAUCUGAUGGGGUACUUGAGUCUCGGCUGAAAAAAAAGUAAUUUUCACUGGCGGGUCUGGAUUGUUGUAUGGAGUCUUCUGAUAAUUGUUUCUUGCUGUAUCUGAUGGUGUCAGUAACCUUGGAAAGAUGCUGGAUUCAUUUUCUUUUUGGGGGAUAAUUCAGUGUUUUGUAUAACUCCUAUUAAUCACCCUCAGGACAAGUUAUUGGACAAAAUUUCUGUUGGGUGGGAAAAAGC